UUCGGUCUGGUGGCGAGUGGCGAACGGGUGAGUAAUAUAUCGGAACGUGCCCAGUCGUGGGGGAUAACGUAGUGAAAAUUACGCUAAUACCGCAUACGAUCUAAGGAUGAAAGCGGGGGAUCGCAAGACCUCGCGCGAUUGGAGCGGCCGAUAUCAGAUUAGGUAGUUGGAGAGGUAAAGGCUCACCAAGCCAACGAUCUGUAGCUGGUCUGAGAGGACGACCAGCCACACUGGAACUGAGACACGGUCCAGACUCCUACGGGAGGCAGCAGUGGGGAAUUCUGGACAAUGGACGCAAGUCUGAUCCAGCCAUUCCGCGUGCAGGACGAAGGCCUUCGGGUUGUAAACUGCUUUUGUACAGAACGAAAAAGUCUCUAUUAAUACUAGGGGCUCAUGACGGUACUGUAAGAAUAAGCACCGGCUAACUACGUGCCAGCAGCCGCGGUAAUACGUAGGGUGCAAGCGUUAAUCGGAAUUACUGGGCGUAAAGCGUGCGCAGGCGGUUAUGUAAGACAGAGGUGAAAUCCCCGGGCUCAACCUGGGAACUGCAUUUGUGACUGUAUAGCUGGAGUGCGGCAGAGGGGGAUGGAAUUCCGCGUGUAGCAGUGAAAUGCGUAGAUAUGCGGAGGAACACCGAUGGCGAAGGCAAUCCCCUGGGCCUGCACUGACGCUCAUGCACGAAAGCGUGGGGAGCAAACAG
rnacentral:rRNA from 1 species